rnacentral:rRNA from 1 species
GGCGCGCAAAUUACCCACUCCCGGCACGGGGAGGUAGUGACGAAAAAUAACGAUACGGGACUCAUCCGAGGCCCCGUAAUCGGAAUGAGUACACUUUAAAUCCUUUAACGAGGAUCAAUUGGAGGGCAAGUCUGGUGCCAGCAGCCGCGGUAAUUCCAGCUCCAAUAGCGUAUAUUAAAGUUGUUGCGGUUAAAAAGCUCGUAGUCGAAUUUGUGUCUCAUGCCGCUGGUUCAUCGUUCGCGGUGUAAACUGGCGUGACAUGGGACGUCCUGCCGGUGGGCUUAGCUCUUAACGGGGCGGCCCUAUAUAAUCCUGCCGCGUUGCUCUUAAUCGAGUGUCGAGGUGGGCCGGCUCAUUUACUUUGAACAAAUUAAAGUGCUUAAAGCAGGCUAAAAUUUUGCCUGAAUAUGUGUGCAUGGAAUAAUGAAAUAGGACCUCGGUUCUAUUUUGUUGGUUUUAGGAACCCCGAGGUAAUGAUUAAUAGGAACGGAUGGGGGCAUUCGUAUUGCGACGUUAGAGGUGAAAUUCUUGGAUCGUCGCAAGACGAACAUAAGCGAAAGCAUUUGCCAAAAACGUUUUCAUUGAUCAAGAACGAAAGUUAGAGGUUCGAAGGCGAUCAGAUACCGCCCUAGUUCUAACCAUAAACGAUGCCAGCCAGCGAUCCGCCGAUGUUCCUCCGAUGACUCGGCGGGCAGCUUCCGGGAAACCAAAGCUUUUGGGUUCCGGGGGAAGUAUGGUUGCAAAGCUGAAACUUAAAGGAAUUGACGGAAGGGCACCACCAGGAGUGGAGCCUGCGGCUUAAUUUGACUCAACACGGGAAACCUCACCAGGCCCAGACACUGGAAGGAUUGACAGAUUGAGAGCUCUUUCUUGAUUCAGUGGGUGGUGGUGCAUGGCCGUUCUUAGUUGGUGGAGCGAUUUGUCUGGU